GAGGGUAUAGCUCAGUGGCAGAGUGCAUGCUUAGUGCACAGGAGGUCUGGGGUUCAAUCCCCAGUACUUCCA
rnacentral:tRNA from 1 species